UACGUAGGCAGCAAGCGUUGUUCGGAGUUACUGGGCGUAAAGAGUCUGUAGGCGGUGCUCUAAGUUUGGUGUGAAAUCUCCCGGCUUAACCGGGAGGGUGCGCCGAAGACUGGGGUGCUGGAGUCUGGGAGAGGAAAGCGGAAUUCCUGGUGUAGCGGUGAAAUGCGUAGAUAUCAGGAGGAACACCGGUGGUGUAGACGGCUUUCUGGACCAGUACUGACGCUGAGGCGCGAAAGCUAGGGGAGCAAACAGG
rnacentral:rRNA from 1 species